rnacentral:misc_RNA from 1 species
GGAAUUUCAAACACAAAUAUUAAAGGCAUUGGAAUAAUAAAAGGCAACACCAAUGUCUAUGACUUUGUUUCAUGUAUCACUCGAGUGGUUUCGACUCUUUUGCCUAAUUCAGCCAACAUUACGAAGGUAAAAUGACGUAGGAAAAACAUCAGUAAUGGAAGAAAGUGAUUUCAAAAGCCCAACAAAACAAAAUGAGUGUCUAAGACACCUUAGCC